GCCUGGAUGGCUCAGUCGGUUGAGCGUCUGACUUCGGCUCAGGUCAUGAUCCCAUGGUUUGUGGGGUCAAUCCCUGCAUUGGGCU
rnacentral:tRNA from 1 species